rnacentral:rRNA from 1 species
UACGUAUGUCGCGAGCGUUAUCCGGAAUUAUUGGGCAUAAAGGGCAUCUAGGCGGCAUAUCAAGUCAGGGGUGGAAACUUACGGCUCAACCGUGAGCUUGCCUUUGAAACUGAUAUACUAGAGUGUUGGAGAGGUGGGCGGAACUACACGAGUAGAGGUGAAAUUCGUAGAUAUGUGUAGGAAUGCCGAUGAUGAAGAUAGCUCACUGGACGACAACUGACGCUGAAGUGCGAAAGCUAGGGGAGCAAACAGG